AAAUUGAAGAGUUUGAUCAUGGCUCAGAUUGAACGCUGGCGGCAGGCCUAACACAUGCAAGUCGAACGGUAGCACAGAGAGCUUGCUCUCGGGUGACGAGUGGCGGACGGGUGAGUAAUGUCUGGGAAACUGCCCGAUGGAGGGGGA
rnacentral:rRNA from 1 species